CCUACGGGAGGCAGCAGUAGGGAAUAUUGCACAAUGGGGGAAACCCUGAUGCAGCGACGCCGCGUGGGUGAUGAAGUUUUUCGGUUUGUAAAGCUCUAUUAUCAGGGAAGAUAAUGACGGUACCUAACUAAGAAGCCCCGGCUAACUACGUGCCAGCAGCCGCGGUAAUACGUAGGGUGCAAGCGUUAACCGGAUUUACUGGGUGUAAAGGGAGCGUAGACGGGAUUGCAAGUCAGGGGUGAAAGGCGGGGGCUUAACCCCCGGACUGCUUUUGAAACUGUACGUCUGGAGUGCAGGAGAGGUAAGUGGAAUUCUUAGUGUAGGGGUGAAAUGCGUAGAGAUUAGGAGGAAUACCAGUGGCGAAGGCGGCUUACUGGAAUGUAACUGACGUUGAGGCGCGAAAGCGUGGGGAGCAAACAGGAUUAGAUACCCGAGUAGUC
rnacentral:rRNA from 1 species